CUUUAGUUUAUUCCAUCACAGCACAGUCCACAUUUAAUGAUUUACAAGAUCUGAGAGAACAGAUUCUUCAAGUUAAAGACACUGAUGAUGUUCCAAUGAUUCUGGUUGGUAAUAAAUGUGACUUGGAAGAUGAAAGAGUCAUAGGAAAGGAACAAGGUCAAAAUCUAGCAAGACAGUGGAACAACUGUGCAUUCUUAGAAUCUUCUGCAAAAUCAAAAAUAAAUGUUAAUGAGAUCUUUUAUGACCUAGUGCAGCAAAUUAACAGAAAAACUUCAGUGCCUGGGAAGGCCCUCAAAAAGUCAUCAUGUCAGCUGCUUUAAUAUACUAAAUGCAUUGUAGCUCUGAGCCAGGUCUGAAGAACUGUUGCCCAAUUCAACAGUGCCAGCAUUCCAACUUUGUUAAACCUACCAACAUCUUAAAUGGACUUUCCUGUGGUGGUACACUUUAAGAGGCAGAUGAAAGCUACUAUAUCAGUUUGCACACUCUAAUCACUUUCCAGUAUCACAAGAGAGAUUUUUACUUAUAUAAUAGCCCUAGAGUAUGCAGCUGGUAAAACCAGAGGCUACAUCCAGUAUUACUGCUAAGAGACAUUUCUUCAUCCACCAAUGUUGUACAUGUAUGAAAAUGGUGUACUGUAUACUUUAACACACCUCAUACUUUGUAUUGGAGAAGUACAAUAAUGUAAAUCCUAGAAGCACCACUAUUUUAGCAUAAUAAAAGAAAAUCCAAAGAGCUCCUAUAUAGACUGUUCCAGAUAACUUUGCUUCUUUGAUACUUGUAGCUUAUUGUAAUUUUUUUAAAAUCAAGGUCAUUGUCAUUGUAUUGUACAAAAAAGCGCUUUGUUAACACAGCUAUGUAAUUUUUUAAUUUUUCAAAAACUUGUGGAGACCGUGAUCUUGUCUUUAAACUAUGAUAGUCCUUUCAGUAUAAUGUCUUAGAUUAAAGACGUUGCCUUUAAUAUCUGUUGGGAAGGAAAUGUCCAGACUUUUCAAAUUCCCUUAUUAUGUUUCCUUUUUUGUUUACAUAGGGAACAAUGUUUAUAGUUGUGUGUACAGUGGGGGUCUACAACAAGAAAUGUAUAUUUUCAAACAAUUUUUUAAUGAUUUAACAAUUUUUGUAAAUCAUUUUCAGGCUUCUGCAGCUGUAGAUUCUCACUGUGAAUCCCUUGCUUGCUCAUGCAUAAGUGUAUUUGCAAUACCAAAUAUACAGGUUUAGUAUUUUUGCCUGUUAGUGAUUGUUUCACAUGUGUAACGUUUUGAUUGAGAUGUUAAAUGGUGGAAUGGCAGUACUGUGGAUGUGAAUGUGGGAAGUAAUUUUAAUCAUGUGUAACUGGUCACAAGGCCUAAUUUGCAGUAACUAUUGCUGUUUUAUUUAACAAUGCCUUGUUGCUUUGUAUGCAUUAAUGUUUGGGUGUAAAGAUUGUGUGUCUACCCAACAGGGAGCCACAGUAUUUAAAUUGACCAACCUAAUGUUACAACUACUUUGAGGUGGCCAAAUGUAAACUAAAAGCCUUAAUUAAAGUGGUUCAAUUUUGUAUA
rnacentral:lncRNA from 1 species